CGACUGGCGGUGGAACGCUUGGUUUUGGCAGCACGCACGGCGGGGCUUUGCGCGAUGCUGCGUCGUGUGCCCCUGCGUCUUGCACGCCGCAAGCACGGGCAGACGGCGUGGUCGCCGAACAACACGAGCAGCGGCGCUGCGCCGACGAACGGGAUCACCGCGCAGGAGGCUCUGCAGAUCGCGUACCGGCCGAUGCCGCCGGCGAACACGGUGGAGUACGAGGAGGACUUCGGGCCGAAUAUGAUGAUUCACCGCGAAUUUGUGUCGUCGAGGCACCGUACGCGCAUGGCCUCGGACAUCUCUGCGCUGGCGUACAGCGACGUGGAGCUUGCGCGGGCGCGCCAGCAGCUCGCGGGCGUGAUGAACCGCGAGCGGCGCGGCGCGCUUGUUGGGAGUGGCGGCGAGGCUGGCGACCGCGUGCUGUUCAACUCGGACGUGGACGAGACGACGCGGGAGGUGAAGAGCGCGCGCUUCCUGUUCAACGAGCAGCGCAUGCGGUUCUGCGACCGCUUCCAGACGUUCUUCCGCGAGCGCAUUGAGCGGCGGGCCGCUGGCGGCGCCGGCGAGGACGAUCACCCCUACUUCUCGCUGAUGGAGGCGUGCGCUGUGCUGCACGGGUGCGAUACGGUCGACGCGCGCGAGGUGUACUACCGCCGCUUCCUGGGGCUGGACCUGGACACGCUGGAGGCGGAGGAGGCUGCCGUGCGUGCGCGCGCAACGGAUGCGGCGGAGGUGGGCGCGCGGCUGACGCGGGGGAGGCUGGUGCUGGAGGUGGCGCUCUCGCGGCUGCUGCAGCUGGCGGUGCCGGCGGCGCGGGGAGCGCGACGGACGUAGUGCAGGACAUCAUUGACGCGCUUCCGCCGCUGUUUCCGCGGCCCGCGGCUGCGGAGGUGGGGGAGGCCGGCGAGGCUGUCGCCGAUGCGCCGCCAGCGCAUGCCUGGGCUGUGGGUGCCGGAGAGCUGCCUCCUGCGACGGCGGCGGCACCCGCGCACCUUGCCGAGGACGCCGCGCCGCUGUACAAGGCGUACCUUGCGCAUGCGCGCGGCGAGAGCCCCGUGGGCUCGUACGACGUGACGACGCUGGGCGCGCACGCGGCGCACGCGGAGCGGCGGCGGUGGCGCUCGCUGAUGGACAAGAUCGCUGCGGAAGACUACCACGAGCUGACUGCUGCCGAGCUGGAGGACGCGCACGUGCUGAACGGGCAGCUGCACACGGUGAAGUUCUUUGACCUGAAGGUCGGGGACACGGUGCGCGAGAUCGUGCAGUUGCUGGAGCGGGAGACGGGGUCGAGCGCGUCCGGCGACCGUGACGUGCCGGUGGAGAUGUCGCCGACGCACCCCGAGCGGCGCGUGUGAGGCUGUGCGGCUGCCGCUCUGCCUCUCUCCGGUUCCUCUCUCGCGCCGUGGCUCUCCCACCGAGGGAGACGUGCCUGCCGGGUGCAGAUCAGUCGCGACGGUGCGCCUACUCCCUCCUCCUCCUCCGCUGGCUUGUGACACAGCCCAUCACAGGCCAUCCACUCCUGCCCGCUCUCCCUCUUUCUUUACGUGCGCGUGGGCUGUAACGGCGCCCUCGGGUCUAGGCAGGGAGGUGCCACACCGAAC
rnacentral:misc_RNA from 1 species